rnacentral:rRNA from 1 species
UGAAGCAGGAGCUUGCUCUUGUGGAUCAGUGGCGAACGGGUGAGUAACACGUGAGCAACCUGCCCCGGACUCUGGGAUAAGCGCUGGAAACGGCGUCUAAUACUGGAUAUGAGACGUGAUCGCAUGGUCAACGUUUGGAAAGAUUUUUCGGUCUGGGAUGGGCUCGCGGCCUAUCAGCUUGUUGGUGAGGUAAUGGCUCACCAAGGCGUCGACGGGUAGCCGGCCUGAGAGGGUGACCGGCCACACUGGGACUGAGACACGGCCCAGACUCCUACGGGAGGCAGCAGUGGGGAAUAUUGCACAAUGGGCGAAAGCCUGAUGCAGCAACGCCGCGUGAGGGAUGACGGCCUUCGGGUUGUAAACCUCUUUUAGCAGGGAAGAAGCGAAAGUGACGGUACCUGCAGAAAAAGCACCGGCUAACUACGUGCCAGCAGCCGCGGUAAUACGUAGGGUGCAAGCGUUAUCCGGAAUUAUUGGGCGUAAAGAGCUCGUAGGCGGUUUGUCGCGUCUGCUGUGAAAACUGGAGGCUCAACCUCCAGCCUGCAGUGGGUACGGGCAGACUAGAGUGCGGUAGGGGAGAUUGGAAUUCCUGGUGUAGCGGUGGAAUGCGCAGAUAUCAGGAGGAACACCGAUGGCGAAGGCAGAUCUCUGGGCCGUAACUGACGCUGAGGAGCGAAAGGGUGGGGAGCAAACAGGCUUA